rnacentral:rRNA from 1 species
CUACGGGAUGCAGCAGUGAGGAAUAUUGCACAAUGGGGGGAACCCUGAUGCAGCAACGCCGCGUGGAGGAUGACGCAUUUCGGUGUGUAAACUCCUUUUAUAUGUCAAGAAAAUGACGGUAGCAUAUGAAUAAGCACCGGCUAACUCCGUGCCAGCAGCCGCGGUAAUACGGAGGGUGCAAGCGUUACUCGGAAUCACUGGGCGUAAAGGACGCGUAGGCGGGUUGGAAAGUCAGGUGUGAAAUCCUACAUCUUAACUGUAGAACUGCACUUGAAACUUCUAAUCUAGAGUAUGGGAGGGGGAGAUGGAAUUAGUGGUGUAGGGGUAAAAUCCGUAGAUAUCACUAGGAAUACCUAAAGCGAAGGCGAUCUCCUGGAACAUUACUGACGCUAAGGCGUGAAGGCGUGGGGAGCAAACAGGAUUAGAUACCCGUGUAGUC